GUGCACAGGGCUCUGACCUAUGAAUUGACAGCCAGUGCUCUCGGCUCCUCUCUGGCUGCCAAUUCCAUAGGUCACAGGUAUGUUCGCC
rnacentral:miRNA from 1 species